AGCGACUGUGCAGGUUACCGCGGCUGCUGGCACGGAGUUAGCCGGUGCUUCUUCUGUGAGUGAUGUCCUUCCUGCCGGUUAUUGACCCGCAGGCCUUCUUCCUCACUGAAAGUGCUUUACAACCCGAAGGCCUUCUUCACACACGCGGCAUGGCUGGAUCAGGGUUGCCCCCAUUGUCCAAUAUUCCCCACUGCUGCCUCCCGUAGGAGUCUGGGCCGUGUCUCAGUCCCAGUGUGGCUGAUCAUCCUCUCAGACCAGCUACGGAUCGUCGCCUUGGUGAGCCGUUACCUCACCAACCAGCUAAUCCGACAUAGGCUCAUCCGAUAGCGCGAGGCCCGAAGGUCCCCCGCUUUCCCCCGUAGGGCGUAUGCGGUAUUAGCCUGGGUUUCCCCAGGUUAUCCCCCACUACCGGGCAGAUUCCUAUGCAUUACUCACCCGUCCGCCGCUCGCCACCAGGGAGCAAGCUCCCCGUGCUGCCGCUCGACUUGCAUGUGUUAGGCCUGCCGCCAGCGUUCAAUC
rnacentral:rRNA from 1 species